rnacentral:rRNA from 1 species
AUACGGAGGAUGCGAGCGUUAUCCGGAUUUAUUGGGUUUAAAGGGAGCGUAGGCGGGAGCUUAAGUCAGCGGUUAAAUGGUGCGGCUCAACCGUGCCCUGCCGUUGAAACUGGGUUUCUUGAGAGUGCAAGAGGCGGAUGGAAUUCAUGGUGUAGCGGUGGAAUGCUUAGAUAUCAUGAAGAACUCCGAUUGCGAAGGCAGUCCGCUGGGGCACGUCUGACGCUGAUGCUCGAAGGUGCGGGAAUCAAACAGGAUUAGAUACCCUGGUAGUCCGCACGGUAAACGAUGAUUACCCGCUGUCGGCGGCAGACAGUCGGCGGCCAAGCGAAAGCGAUAAGUAAUCCACCUGGGGAGUACGCCGGCAACGGUGAAACUCAAAUGAAUUGACGGGG